UCAGCAUACCAAGCUUUUGCCAACCUGAGAAAUCAACCACAACAGAAGAAGGAGGAGGAGGAGGAGGAGCAGGAGCAGGAGGAGAGAAUUCUGGUAUCUACUCUUAAGCUUUUUGGAAGUCUUUGCUGGGACAUGGUGAACCAGCUCUUCCUGUGAGUGAAAGUCUCUGCAGAGCCACCUCUUACAGUACUGGCAGGGAAACAUGAUCACUCAGCAGUUGCUGUAACAGGUCUAGAAGGGAGGAUGAUGGUCCAGUUCCUGCAUAUGAACAGCUGGCUGCCAUGGAAGGUUAAUCCUUGCCUCAACACCUACAGCAGCUAUUUUAAUACCUUCUGAGCCUUAUUAAUAAGACAUCAUCCCUUCUAUCCACCCAAAAGAGGAAAAUAUAAAAUUGGAAAGCACUUCAGAUCUUCUUAUUGAAAUCUAAAAAACAACACAAAAUAAAAAGCUUUGGAAAAUGCUAU